rnacentral:rRNA from 1 species
GCGACCGGCGGACGGGUGCGUAAUGCGCAUGCAAUCUACUUUACACUGGGGAAUAGCCUCCGGAAACGGGAAUUAAUACCCCAUAUAAUCUUACUAGCGCAUGCUAGAAAGAUGAAAGCUCAGGCGGUGUAAAAUGAGCGUACGUCCUAUUAGCUAGUUGGAGAGGUAAUGGCUCACCAAGGCUACGAUGGGUAGGGGUUCUUAGUGGAAGGUCCCCACACUGGCACUGAGAUACGGGCCAG